AGCACUGACCAAAGCAACUACAGCCAAUAACCGUGUUCUGCGCACAGAGAUAAAAGGCUGCUUGCUCUGCUUUCCCCUCUCGAUCUGCACGCACCCUCCUCUUUUUGGGCACUCGGAAUUACUGUUACUUUGCAAAAAGCCCAUGCAAACUGGCUGAGUUGCGGUAUUUCCAACUUGGAGGGCCUACAGUUUAGAAAUGAGCCGUACAAAAAGACAGGAGAUAGCUUCAGCAAUUUACGGAAAAUCUGAGCAUCUGGAAUCUGAACUAACUGCAAUGGAUGGGAAAAUGAAGCGGCUUCAAUUAGAUUGCUGGUACUGAGGAAAGCUUUCUGAGAUGUGCCCAUGGGAAUUGAGAGAAGGGAAAAAAACAUCUUAGUCAAUGAUUGGGGGACAUGCAGUAAUGCCUCCUGAGCAGCAGCAGUGUAUUUUAGGCUAUUGUUACCCUGAUAAACUCCAGUGCUCUUUUAGGAAAAAAGUUAACUUCCAGCCGCAUUAUAAAGACAUGGUAUUGAGAGAGGAGACUCUGGCAUGGAGUGUCUCUGUAAUUUCUUGAGGCCAGAAUGAACAGAAAGAGAGUGUCUUCCUUAAGGAGCGUUAUCACGUGAGUUUUAUGCGAGCAGCAUUAUCGGAAGAAAAAUAAACGUUAACAAACAAUGCAGAAUUGCAUCAAACCAAGCUAGUGAUUGAAAGCAUCAGAUUAGCAAAUGUCAUACAUACAGAUUGUAACAAAAAGUAACAAAAUGGCUCCAGGAGACUCUCAGGCUUUUCUUACUACUCAAAUUAAUUUUAUCACAUCCUGCUUAUGAAGUAAUCUUCUGAGAGCCAGCUGACUUUUUGUGCAAUCUGACAUGCUCUUAAAUGUUAAGUAUAAUCUCAUCAAGCAUGAUCAUAAUACAUAAAAGUGAGGAGUUUGUAGCAUUUCUCUUAAGGUAGAGAAAUCAGUUUCCUUCUCAACCAUAAUCUUGCACUUGUUAAGAACAUGAGAGACUUCUGACAAAACAGAGUAGUUUAUAAAGAAUUCAGACUGCAGGUGAUGUUGUUCCCUCUGCACAUCAUCUACAAGCCCCCUUCCGUUUUUGCUAUACCUGAAGAGGCCAGCGCAGAGUAUAGUGCAGAUUGCAUAAACAUGGGAAGUUCCAUAAUGGCCUCUCAGAUACAAGGCCUUCUUUUUAGUUUCCAUGUAUCUCUCACUGUGUUGCUAGGAUUUACAGAGAAAUUUGUUGUUGAUGUACAAAUUGGAAUAGAUUAAUGCAUAAGCCAAAAGACUGUACGUCCUUUCCAUACCUGUUAACAUUAGCACUGAUGAGUUAUUCUAUAGGCAAUUGGGAGAAAUCUCUGGAUCAGUAGCCCUUGUCCUUACGGGAAAUUUCAACUCCCCAGUCAUCAGCUGGGAACACCAUACUGCUGCGACAAGUAAGUCUGAGAAAUUCCUGGAGUUGGUUGAACGUAAUUACUUGUCACAAGUACUCAGCCGACUAGGAAAGGUGCCUGCCUAGACUUGCCAUUUGUGAAUAGAGAAGGACUCAUGGGAGGUGCGAUGUUAGCUGACUGUCUUGGCCACACUGAUCAUGAAAUGGGUGAGUUCAGAAUUUUCAGUGUAGCGGGAAAAAAGUUCACCAGAGUUGCUACCCUGUAUUUCAAGAGAGCAAACUUUAAGCUACUCAGGCAGCUACUUCACAGACCCCCUGGGAAUCUGCCUUUGAGGGCUUCGGGGGCCAGUAAGUGCUGGUCAGUUUUGUGGACCACCGUUUAAAAGCACAGGAGCAAGCCAACACAUUGUGUUGCAAGUCAAGCAAGCAGGGGCGGAAGACCAGCUUGGCUGAACAGGUUCUUGGAGCUCAGGACCAAACAAUGCUUGGAUGAUCUCUAGAAGCAAGGUUGGGCGUCACAGGAAGACCACAGAGCCAUCAGUUGGAUAUGCAGGGAGACAACAUGGAAGGCCAAAGCUCAGCUAGGGUUGAAACUGGCUAUUGUUGUAUGAGACAAAAAAAAAGGAUUUUUGAAUGGCAAGAGGAUGUCCAGAUGCAGAAAAGGCAGAGGCAUUGAAUGCUUUUUUUUUUUUUGGCUCAGUCUUUAAUAUCCGUGAUAGACCUUGGGCUGUCUGGUCCUCUGAGUUGGAGGACCACAACUGUGGGAACAGUGACUUUCCAUUUGUGGAGACAGAAGUUGUAAGGGGCCAGCUGUAACCGUGGAAUGUUCAUAAGUUCAUGUGACCUGGUGGGGUUAAUUCCAGAGUACUACACAAGCCCGUGGAUGUUAUGGCAGGACCCCUCUUGAUCACCUACCAGAGGUCUUGAGAGUCUGAGGAGGUCCCUGCUGGCUGGAAGCUAGUCAAAAUUAUUCCAAUUUACAACAAAGGUGGAGGGAAGACCCAGCAAACCAUACACCUGGCAGUCUAACCUCAGCACCUGGAAAAAUGCUGGAGCAGAUCCGGCUCAGAGCUACGGAAAGGCAUUUCCAGGACACUGCCAUCAUCGGGCACAGUCCGCAGGGCUUCGCACAGGGAAAGCCCCGUCUCACUCAUCGGAGAUCCUCCUACCAGACGGCCUGCUGAGCGGGUGACGGGAAGACAGUGGAUGUGGUUUCUGGACUUUAGGGAGGCUUUUGAUGCCGUCCCUCACAGCAUCCUUCGGGACAAGUUAUCCAGCUGUGAGGUCAGCAGGGGCACACUGCGCUGGGUGAAGAACCAGCCUUUGGACAUUAGGAAACCUUUCUAAACCGCGAGGGCGGUCCAGCACUGCAAGAGGCUGCCUAGAGAGGUGUCGCUGCUGCGAAACUCCGAUUCCCAGCACAAG